AGUGAACGCUGGCGGUAGGCCUAACACAUGCGAGUCGAACGGCAGCACAGUAAGAGCUUGCUCUUACGGGUGGCGAGUGGCGGACGGGUGAGGAAUACAUCGGAAUCUACUUUUUCGUGGGGGAUAACGUAGGGAAACUACGCUAAUACCGCAUACGACCUACGGGUGAAAGCAGGGGAUCUUCGGACCUUGCGCGAUUGAAUGAGCCGAUGUCGGAUUAGCUAGUUGGCGGGGUAAAGGCCCACCAAGGCGACGAUCCGUAGCUGGUCUGAGAGGAUGAUCAGCCACACUGGAACUGAGACACGGUCCAGACUCCUACGGGAGGCAGCAGUGGGGAAUAUUGGACAAUGGGCGCAAGCCUGAUCCAGCCAUACCGCGUGGGUGAAGAAGGCCUUCGGGUUGUAAAGCCCUUUUGUUGGGAAAGAAAAGCAGCAGGUUAAUACCCCGCUGUUCUGACGGUACCCAAAGAAUAAGCACCGGCUAACUUCGUG
rnacentral:rRNA from 1 species